rnacentral:lncRNA from 1 species
AGAGAAGUAGCAUUGGAGAUAACACGCGCAAUCUCCGAAAGUUUGGGACUGGAGCCCAAUUACAUCCAUGAUGCGAUGAACAUGGAUCGCGGCCUACAAAUGCUCGCCGCCAACUACUAUCCGCCUUGCCCUCAGCCAGAACAUGCAAUUGGUAUACCACAUCACACUGAUCAUGGCCUUGUCACCCUCCUCAUCCAGAAUGAGAUGAAUGGCCUCCAAGUUGAACAUAAUGGCAAGUGGCUCACCGUCAAUGGCCCUGCCAACGGUUUCUUUGUCAACCUCGCUGACCAAAUGCAAAUUCUUACUAAUGGCAAAUACAAAAGUGUGAUGCAUCGGGCAACUGUGAACAGCAAAGCGACGAGGAUAUCUAUUGCCAUACCACAUGGACCAUCUGUUGAUACACUUAUCGCACCGGCACCGGAGUUACUGGAAAAAGAAGGCCAAGCUCCGAAAUACAUUGGAAUGAAUUAUAAGGAGUAUAUCCAGCUUCAACAGAGCGGCAAGAACUACAUGAAAUCCACCUUUGAUCACAUACUAGCGUAACUGAGCUUUAUACAGAGUCCCAUGGCUUGGUCACACUUCAAACGAUCUCAACCAUAUUGAAAGAUCUGCAGCUGCCUUUUGAUUUCUUUUUCUUCGAACUGUUUUUAGUCUAAAUUUCCUUCUUUUGUUUCAAUGAUCAUGUCAUAUAGGAGUUGGCUUGAUGUGUUAUUAGCACCAAACAGCCUUGUAGUUCAAUAAUAUUUAAGCAGUUUUAGCGAAAUACUUCUGGUACUGUUUAUUUUUAACGAAAAACCACAUUUUUACGUUUUCUUAGUAUUAUUUACUACACCUUUAUUUGUCAUUUUUUAUUAAAACAAAAGUUUUUAUAGAUUUUUCGAUAGUUUCCUUAACAUUUAUAUUAUCAAACAUCGCAGACUAGCAGCCAGUUUCGAUUGAAAAUAGGCUUCAGUUUUCAGGGGAUGGGGCUUUCAAUAUAUUUGGUCUUUUAAGCCAAUGAUUGAUUUGAAAUUGAGCAUAAAAAAUAAGGAAAACUAAUGAAAAUGGUUUGAAAACUUUGAGUUUUAACGAUAAAGACAAAAUAAAUGAUAAAAUAAAUAGUACAAGAAUUGAUUUUUUAGUGUAAAAUAUGAUUUUUCGUUAAAGUAAACGGUACCGGGAGCUUUUCAUUAAAGUUCUUGUUUGUACCAUACUUGACCAAUCCCGAAACUACAACUAAGCUUCAAGUGAAAUUGAUACAUUACCUUGUGCGUCAACAUCAGCUAAAUACACCAUUCCCGGAUGGAGGAAAGGUACUUCCAGAGAAGGGCAGAUGAAGAUCAGACCACACUUCGGUACUUAGAAGUUUCGUGAUUACUCAAGGGAUUGGAUCUUGCAAGUCCCCAACCGAGGAGUUUCCCUCACUCGGGAACUUAGGGGAGCACUGUUUGUACCAUACUUGACCAAUCCCGAAACUACCGAGCACCGGCCAACGCUAUACUGUCAAGGACCCAGAAGAGUUCCCCUCCGACCAGGAGGCCAAUCACUACUCGACACGUGUCAAGAUUAGAAGCCAAUCAGAGCGCAGCACGUGUCGACAUCAAGAACCAAUCAUAACAUGACACAUGUCAAUGUGACAAAGCUACAAGUUUUUCUAUAAAUAGGGGUCAUUCCCCCACAAUAUUGGCUAAUGCCAUUUGUGUCAAAUCAUUCACAAGAACUCACUAAAUUGAGAGCUUGAUCCUUUGUACUUGUGUAAGCCCUUCACUACUAAUAAGAACUCCUAUACUCCGUGGACGUAGCCAAUCUGGGUGAACCACGUACAUCCUGUGUUUGCUUCUCUGUCUCUAUUCAUUUACGUACUUAUCCUCACUAGUGACCGAAGCAACCAAGCGAAGGUCACAAAACCUGACACUUUCUGUUGUACCAAAGUCUUCGCUGAUUUUGUGCAUCAACAUUUGGCGCCGUCUGUGGGAAACGACACUUAUUCCUACUCUCUUCAGCUGUGUCAAGCUGGUUUCUAUCAUUCGUACACUUUCUUUUGAUCAGGCAUCCCUCUCCAGCAUGGGAAGCGAAGGAAGCCACAGCACACAGAAUGACACCCCCAUUGCACAUAGUGCGAAACAACGAAAGAAGGAAGGAAAACGAGUUCUUCUUCAAGCUAAAGUCGAUGAGUUGGAAGCUCAGAACAACAAGAUAGCAAUGAAGAAUGAGGUCCUCCAGGAGCAAUAUGAGAAGCUCUUCGAGACAUUCCACGAAGCUAGGCAAGCUCAGACACGCGAGCUUGUUGCCCCCGUGGAAGUCAACCAUCAACUGGGUGCCCUCCAACAUGGAGGGUCACAUGCAUUCGACAUAGAUAUCCCUGAUAGGGAACAAAUUACCCCUCGAUUUGAUAAUCAACAUGAGGCUUCUCUUAACCCAGUUGCUUCGACCCGAACCAUGAGAAGCGGAGGGAGACACCUCUUUGCUGAAGGGGCAGAAGGAUCGAAAGCCGUCUUUCGCGAUUGUCGGGAUUUCCUGAAGCAACGUCGAGAGAAUUCCAUCCAUAUAAGCUCAAAGAUCAAUGACCCCAAGGAUUUCUGAGAGACUCGGUCCCCUGCCACGGCCCGAGCCGGCCACCAACUUGGGGAAGGUGCAACAAGUCCUAGAGAGACAUGAGGGUACAGGGGACUCAGAGGUGUUCCGACAGACAUACCCUGGAAGCCAGUACAGCGAGUCCAGGGAAAAAUCACAUGCCCUUGAUCAAACCUUCCUAAUUCCAAGAGGAGAUGGAGAUUUACGAAAGAAAGCUCCAGUGGCACAUAACUCCGCUCAGGACCGCCUUGUCCUACAACUUCUUGAGGAAGUAAACAAGUUGAAGGCUGAACGUCAGGCUGAAAUACCUGACUGGAACCAACCCAGGCCUGGCCCUCUUACAAGGAGGAUCCUCAACACCCCCCUUCAAGCAAAGACAAAGCAGAAGCUUGGCUUGCAACUUUAUACUGGAAAAGAGGACCCGAUUGAGCACCUUAACCUCUUUGAGUCCACCAUGGCAUACCGGAUGCACACCGACGAAGAGCGAUGUCUUCUCUUCCCCUCCACCCUCUCUGGCGGAGCUCUAAAUUGGUAUUGUCGUCUUACACCUGAGACGGUAGACUCAUUUGAGGAAUUGAGGAAACUAUUUGUUUCCCAACACAUUUUCCAAACCGAUCGCUUGCACUCUGCAGAUGACCUGUACACUAUCCGCCAGAGGCCAGACGAGUCAUUACGUAUGUAUGCUGGCCGCUUUCAGCCAUGAAUACUCCCGGUGUGCCGAGGCAGACGACAAGACUGCCCUCAAAGCCUUCACGGUAGGCCUACGUGAUUGUUUCUUUAAAUACAUGAUCAAUGCCAAUACUUGGAAGACUUACUCUGAGGUGAUGGCGCAGGCUUAUAACCAUGCCUCCGCCGAGGCAAAGACAUAUCAGGAGAAACCCCCUCACCCAACGCCAUGGAGGAAGAACUAGCAAUAGCUAAAGUUUGACGGUUGGAAAGAUCAUCCAAUGUUUCUCUAGUACAGGACUCUAACAAAGACCCUGAAGACUCCGACAUUGCAGACUCAGACUUAGAGCUAAAGCUAGAAGAGCCCUCAUCACUAGAACUUCCAGGCUCUGACAUCUACAAUAAGAAGAAACAAAUUCUAUCACUACAUGCAUGAUCAAAACAUAAGGAAGUUCCUAUAUUACCCACAUGAAGAUGGUGCAAAGCGAUGCCGGAACCCUUCUCAAUCAGAAAGCAAUCCGUCUUCCACAGUCACUACAAAAAACAAGCAAAUGAAGACCGUGUCAAGCGCCAAAAAAAAAAAAAAAAAAAAAAAAAACAGCUUCAUCCAAAAAAGCUUCACCCGAAAAGCUUCACCUCCAAAACUUCACCCAAAAAGCUUCAUCCAAAAAGUUUCACCCAAAAAGCUUCACCUAAAAAAGCUUCACCCAAAAAAAAAAACUUCACCUCCAAAAAGCUUCACCCAAACAGCUUCACCUAAAAAAGCUUCACCCACAAAGCUUCACCUAAAAAGCUUCACCCACAAAGCUUCACCCAAAAAGCUUCACCUCCAAAACUUCACCCAAAAAACUUCAUCCAAAAAGUUUCAUCCAAAAAGCUUCACCUAAAAAAGCUUCACCCAAAAAAAAAAAAAAAAAAAAAAAAAAAAAAAAAAAAACUUCACCUCCAAAAAGCUUCACCCAAACAGCUUCACCUAAAAAAGCUUCACCCACAAAGCUUCACCUAAAAAGCUUCACCCACAAAGCUUCACCCAAAAAACUUCACCCGAAAAGCUUCACUUAAAAAAGCUUUACCUACACAGCUUCACCUAAAAAAGCUUCACCUAGAAAGCUCCCUCUACAUACUUUCACCUACAAAGCUUCACCAUCAAAAGCUUCACCUCGAAAGCUUCAUCUACAAAGCUUCAUCUACAAAAGCUUCACCAUCAAAGCUUCACCCAAAAAGCUUCACCUAAAAAAGCUUCACCCAAAAAAAAAACUUCACCUCCAAAAAGCUUCACCCAAACAGCUUCACCUAAAAAAGCUUCACCCACAAAGCUUCACCUAAAAAAGCUUCACCCACAAAGCUUCACCCAAAAAACUUCACCCGAAAAGCUUCACUUAAAAAAGCUUCACCUACAAAGCUUCACCUAAAAAAGCUUCACCUAGAAAGCUUCACCUACAUAGCUUCACCCAGAAAGCUUCACCAUCAAAGCUUCACCUAGAAAGCUUCAACACCAAAGCUUCACCUACAAAGCUUCAACACAAAACCUUGCUCCAAAUAAACAAAUUUUGUUCACAAAACCCAAGAUGCCCUUGAACUUGUACAAAAACACAGGUCAACACAAACAUUUGUUUUGUUUUACACCCACAAGGGCAUCCCUGUCAUAACCAAACAAGCAAUUAUGUAUAUGUUUCCAAACAUAUUAUAAUAGAUCCAACAACAAGCCAAAGUCCCAAGUUUCAUAAUGGACAAAAGUACAAGCAAUUCAUCAAUAAUGAAGGUGCUACAAAACUUGGAAUCUGCCCCAAAAUAGAAAUCCAACCCAAGAGACUUUUUCUCUCUCUCCCUCUUCCGCCUCCUUUCAUCUAUCAAAUUUCUGCAACCUCUGCUCUUCUCCAAUGGAGCUGAAUUUUUGGACACCCUAUAGUUUUUGAGCAUAUGAACAACUUUCAAGAAGGAACCAUUUCUGUUUGAGCGACGGAAAUUAAAGUGUUGAAGCUCCAAACAUGACAGUCGGAUUCUUGCAGAUUUCGAAGCUGCUAUGAUGUUUCGAAGAUCUGGAAAUAUUUAACCAUUAGUUCAUUCUGAAUUUUUGAUAUGUUAUGAAAGAGACGAUGAGGCACAACUUCAAUGAAGAAAGCAUGCUGAUCUGAACAAUAGAAAAUGGAGUUUCGAAGCUCACAACAAAUCUGACGGGUUGACAGAAAAAUAAUAACCAGUCAUUCAUCAUACCUGAAUUUCUUGAGUUAUAUAGCUCCGAGGGAUCUCAAAUUUGGAUAUGUUGUAGUUCACAAGCUGAGGAACAACUUCAAUGAAGAAAGCAUGCUGAUCUGAGCAAGAGAAAAUAGAGUUUCAAAGCUCACAACAAAUCUGACGGGUUGACAGACAAAUGAUAAACAGUCACUCAUCAUACCUGGAUUUCUGGAGUUAUACUGCUCCGAGGGACCUCAAAUUUGGAUAUGUUGUAGUUCACAAGUUAAGGAACAACUUCGAUGAAGAAAGUAUGUUGAUCUGAACAAGAGAAAAUGGAGUUUCGAAGCUCACAACAAGUCUGACAGGUUGACAGAAAAAAAUGAUGAACAGUCACUCAUCAUACCUGAAUUUCUGGAUUUGUACUGCUCCGAUGGAUCUCAAAUUUGGAUAUGUUGUAGCUGACAAGGUGAGGAACAACUUCGAUGAAGAAAGUAUGUUGAGAUGAACAAGAAAAAAUGGAGUUUAGAAGCUCACAACAAGUCUGACGGGUUAACAGAAAAAUUGAUGAACAGUUACUCAUCAUACCUGAAUUUCUGGAGUUGUACUACUCCGAUGGAUCUCAAAUUUGGAGAUGUUGUAGUUCACAAGAUAAGGAACAACUUUCAUGAAGACGACUUUGCGAUCUGAGUUAUAGAGAAAUGGUGUUAUCUUGCAUCCACUCAGGCUGAUUAGUGGAAACGAAAAAGCAAUUCCACCAAAGAAAAGAUGAAAAAGAGAGAAAAGCUACUAAUUGCACUUGAUCUUGUCUAGUCAAUAGCAUGCAGCAUCAAAACACACAAAAGUUGGAAAUAUUUUUAGAUAAGGCAUAUGCGAAUGUGUGACAUCGAAACAAGGAUUCGUUACUUUGACAAAUUAGUAACAAGCGAGACACCUCAUUCGGCAACUCUCUUCGCCUGAAGACUUGGGGGACUCCCACCAUAUGCUACUGCACCUUAAUACUCGGCAGUCUCACAACCACUCAGUGACUUGGAUUUUUCAAGUCUCCAACCGAGAAGUUUUCCUCACUCGGGAAAUUAAGGGAACACUACCUCAAACUACAUGCUUCACUCACAAAGCUUCAACAAUACAGGUUUCAACAAAAGCAAAAAUUCAAAAAGAACUUUAUGAAGAAGGCUUUGGUGUAUUUAACACAAUAUAUUUGAAAUGAAGCAAAGCUUAUUUAUUAAUAUUUUCGAUAAGCCACAAAUAUGUACAUAUACAUGAGUCAAAAAUAAACAAACAAAAGGGAGCCUUCACAAAGGUUGCUUAGGGGAAGUCUCAGCAGUCGGUAGAGCCCCAGAAAGAGAAAGCACCGGAGGGGUGGUUAUCCGGAGCCUCAGUACUUGACAAAACCCCAGAAGGAGGAGGCAUUGGAGGUUCAUCAUUUGAAGCUUCAUUACCAGGUACAGCCCCAGAGGACGAAGGCAAUAAAUGCCUUUGGAACAAACCCACAAACCGCUGAUGAUCAAGUAAAACCUUACCAUCAGAUUCCUUCAUCUGGUCAAGCUUCCUCUUCAUGUUUGUAGCAUAGUCAUGGGCGAGCCGGUGCAACUGCUUAUUCUCAUGCUUGAGCCCUCUAAUCUCCUGUUUGAGACUCAUCACUUCAGCAGCCAAUGAUUCAACUUGGCGGGUUCUAGCAAAUAGGCGUUGGGCCAUAUUAGACACAGAACCUGCACACUGAACACUAAGAGCCAGAGAGUCCUUAACAGCCAACUCAUCAGACCGUUUGGAAAGUAGUCUGUUAUCUUUGGGAGUGAGAAGGUUCCUGGCCACCACUGCAGCGGUCAUAUCAUUCUUCAUCACAGAAUCCCCAACGGUAAGAGGACCAGUAGGGGAUAUGAAGGAUGGGCGCCAUAUGUUGUCUGGAGAAGGCGUGGCUGUCUCUUCUCCAAGGUUCAAGUCAAAACGACGGUCGGAGGGUCCAGACAUUUUCAAAUGUGUUGAAGAAGGAAGAGGUCAGACAAAUCAAGAUCUUAGAAGUGCAAGAAAUGAGCUUCUACUGGUAGAGAUUCAAGUGUGCUGUGGAACUUAAUGCCAGCCUCUAUAAAAAUCUGCACUCGACGGAGCUUUCAGAAAUCGAAGAGGCGUUUGCUUUCUCAAAAGCUGGGCUGCUCAGAGACCACGAGGGCCGAUCUCAGAAAUCGAAGAGGCGUUUGCUUUCUCAAAAGCUGGGCUGCUCAGAGACCACGAGGGCCGAUCUCAGAAAUCGAAGAAGCACCUGCUUUUUCAGCCUCGUCAGCACCUGUCACAUGCACAAUCAGCUUUGCGAAAAAUUACGGGCAAUCUGUCGAAGAUUUCUGGUGAAGUAGAAAGCACGUGAAUCUUACUGUUCAAUCACCGCUCUCCAUAUGCACCAUCAACUCCUCGGGUACCACAUAUAACUUUGUCAAAGAUCUCUGACAAAGUUUAGGCACGAGAAUUUCGAAGUUCCAGCUACCCUACUAUUACCCAUAAGGGUAAAGGAACAGCACCACUGCUUGACAACUGGAAAGUCCCUAUGUGUGUCGACCUCCGUGUUUUGCGGCAAGACAGGUUGGCAAGAACGUCCAACCUUUACUCACAUUCGAGAAAAGACUCCCAACAUAAUUACUUUCUCAAAAACCGGAGUAGCACCGCUUUCCGAAUCUCGAGAGUCAGAUCCUCGACGGGAUUGCUUGUUCGAAAACCGAAGAGGCACAACUCUCAGAACUUCGAGAGCCAGAUUUCCUUAGAUAAAGCUUGUCUGUAAUCUUCACACGUAACAUCAGCUUUCCAGAUACCACAUACCACUUUUUCAAAGUGCUCUGACAAAAUUAAAACACGUGAAGCUGGCAGCUCCCACUACAUUGCUGUGACCAAGAAGGGUAAAGGAAUAUCAUUACUACUUGUUAUUGGGAAAUCCCUAUAUACAUUGACCUCCCUCCUCAACGGACAGGCAAACCUGCAAAAAUGCUCAACCCUUUCUCUCGCAUUCGAAAAGGCACCCUCAACAUAACCUCUCGAAAUACUCAGCUUUAUUUCCCCCCGAUAUUACCUCAGCAAAUAAGCCACACCAAGAACAAGAGUAUCUCAUAUCAUCAGGGUCGAAAGCAAGAGUAUCCCAUAUCAUGCUUUCUCCCUAUCUUUGUCUUUGUCCUUGUCCACACCUGCAGGACAAGGAGAAAGAGAGCAGUCAGUCGGAACCUGAAAUCAAACCUCCAAUUUGGAACUGACUGCCUGGAGCCUUUGCCUGGUUGCUUACUUAGCAUUGCUCUCGAGUACUCAUCCUCAACUGCUGUCAAGGUCACGAAUUCCACCGGCAAAUACCUCAUGACAGUUGAUCAGAUAUUGGCUCUUUACACUGAAGCUGCCAAGCGUGGAUGAGUCACUAUGAAGGAAUGUUCUGAAGGACCAUUUAAAUGCAAAGGUUGCACACCACUUCUGUCAUGCAAAAGAUUGAAGCAGAAGGUUCAACGGUGAGCUGAAACAGAUCACUACAGCACGACACUUUUCCAUACCACAUUCAUUAUUCCGUCAACAGCAAAAGUAUCCCAUAUCAUCAAGGUCGAACGUACUCUAGAUUUGAUGGACUUGUUUUGACCCUCAAAUUUUUGAGUCGGCCUUAUACUCUGAAGGGCACCAGAAAACCCUCCAGCACAGUUCAAGAAUAAGCCUGUGGAAAGUUACUUCUUCAAAAGCAAAAGUAUCUCAUAUCAUCUCUUAUCCAUUUGCUUCUCCUUAUCCUGGCAGUUGAAUGAGAGACAAGGAGAAGGAGAACAAUCAACCGGAAGCCGAAGUCAAACCUCUGAUCCUGGGUUGCUUACUUGGAAGUUUGACUGCUUACCUUGUCUGUCACCUCUUUCGGCAGAUCUCCUAGCUCGGCGACUUGGGGGACUCCUACUAUAGGGUUUGUAUCACACUUGACUAAGCCCGAAACUACAACUAAGCUUCAAGUGAAAUUGAUAUAUUACCUUGUGCGUCAACAUCAGCUAAAUACACCAUUCCCGGAUGGAGGAAAGGUACUUCCAGAGAAGGGCAGAUGAAGAUCAGACCACACUUCGGUACUUAGAAGUUUCGUGAUUACUCAAGGGAUUGGAUCUUGCAAGUCCCCAACCGAGGAGUUUCCCUCACUCGGGAACUUAGGGGAGCACUGUUUGUACCAUACUUGACCAAUCCCGAAACUACCGAGCACCGGCCAACGCUAUACUGUCAAGGACCCAGAAGAGUUCCCCUCCGACCAGGAGGCCAAUCACUACUCGACACGUGUCAAGAUUAGAAGCCAAUCAGAGCGCAGCACGUGUCGACAUCAAGAACCAAUCAUAACAUGACACAUGUCAAUGUGACAAAGCUACAAGUUUUUCUAUAAAUAGGGGUCAUUCCCCCACAAUAUUGGCUAAUGCCAUUUGUGUCAAAUCAUUCACAAGAACUCACUAAAUUGAGAGCUUGAUCCUUUGUACUUGUGUAAGCCCUUCACUACUAAUAAGAACUCCUAUACUCCGUGGACGUAGCCAAUCUGGGUGAACCACGUACAUCCUGUGUUUGCUUCUCUGUCUCUAUUCAUUUACGUACUUAUCCUCACUAGUGACCGAAGCAACCAAGCGAAGGUCACAAAACCUGACACUUUCUGUUGUACCAAAGUCUUCGCUGAUUUUGUGCAUCAACAGUUCUCAUACCCAAUACAAAUAAAUAAAUAAACAAAUAAACAAAUAAAAUAUUAAUUUAUAUAUUUGGUUCAAUUCAGAACCAUCAAAAUCGAAAUUGUACCAAUAGUUUUUGGUUUGGUUUUCAAUUGAUUUGGUCUUUCCAGUUUCAGUACAGUGUUCAAUCAUUAUUUUCGGUUUUCCAAGCCCACUCCUAAGAUAUAGAUUAAGUUACACAGAUAUUCCAAAUAUAUAUACACGUACAACAAAACAUCUUAAUAAUGUAGAGUUGAAUUUGUACACUUUCCUAAGUUAUCUUUCACUAAACGAGAAAAGAGUUUAACGGGACUGUUUAGUUUUCCGAUUAAACUUAUCGAUACUAGCUUUUGGCCAUCACCGGAUUCUGGUACAGCUUCUCCGUAACCAAGUUCCGUUAGAGGUUAGAUAUGUCGUACGUACAUUUUGUUAAUUAGAUGAUCAAUUCCAUUAGUUUUACAUUAAUUGUUGUAAAAUUAACCAUGUGCUUGCCUUGUAUAUUAUUAUAUAUGUCGAGGACUUAAAAUCAUAGAAUAAAAUCUAGUUAAAAGAAAAGAGCGUACAAUUAAAAGUGACAAUGUGCUUGCCCGAUUGCUUUCAUUUCCUUAUGUCAGUGAUUGUCUCGUAAUUCAAAUGUUGGUGAACCACAGCAAGUGGUCAGUGGUAAGGGCACGAACUAUGGCUUCCUAAUAAAAAAAAAGUGGGAGGUUUCAAGUUCGUUGUUCCGAGUUGGUGAAUCUGUUUGACUAUGGUCACGGGCAGGGUGAAAUUCCCUAUAACCUCUCUGGGUUCAGAAGUGAUAGAUAACCGUGGUUUGCCACUAGUUAUCUCAUUUUUAGAAAAAAUAAAAUAAAAAGGAAAAAAAAUUGGUGGGCUGUUCGGUUUGACUACACUUCCUUUGCUUUCCAAGCAUCCCACGGCAAAGAAAAUAUGCAAUAGAUCCAUAACCAUAUGAGAGGGACCCAAACUAUCGGGUGACAAAUCAACUUAUUAGAAUGUUAACAAAUAAACAUUUGGACUCUUUUGGUUUGAUUUUAUCAUAAUAGGGUGGUAAGAUUGAUAGGGGAGAUGAUGGUGUAAUAUCUUAUUAUGGUGAAAUCAAACUAAAUGAGUAUUAAUUAUUUCCGUUAAUGUCUAAUGAGUUGAUUUGUCAAUCUAUUUAGCGCUAUUCUAGAAGUCCUGGAAAGUGUUGAGAGUAACACCCCACGUGUCAAGAUACAUGUGGGAAAUAAGUUGGGAUAUUUGGAAAUAUAGCCAUUUUUUAAAUCACUUUUUGAAAUAUAACCUACAUUUUCUAAUUUUAUAAAACUAAACCAAAAUUACAAUUAAAAAGACAUAAUUACCCUUAACCUUCUAUAAACACUCCUGUGCUGUCUUUAGACUCCUCAUCUCCAUUGAAACACCACCACCAAACUUCAUCUAGUGAUCCUGCCAAGCAGUAACUGCAAUUAAAAAGACAUAUUGGAUCGGCUACAAUAGUAUGGCGUAAGGCUUCUCCUGGGAAGAAGGUUGGUUUCAUUGCUGCUAGGUGGACUAGUGGUCUCAGAGGACAAGUUGCUGCAAACGUCUCUAAGGCAGACAAGUGAUGAGAUUACAUUUUCGACUUUUUCUAUAUUUGCCGUGUUUGGACUGUUUAUAUUUUAUUCAAAACUAGUUUGGAGCGUUUUGUGGAGGAAAUUUUGUUUAAGAAAAAAAAAACAACGAGGACAAAGAUUUAGAAAAGAAACACCACGAUUCUGGAAGCGAGGAAUGUUUUAAACUAAGGGCAAUAAGACUUUUUAACUUCAAUUUUGGUUAGUUUUAUAAUAAAUGAAAAAUGUAGGUCAUAUUCCAACAGGUGAUCUCUAAAAUGGCUAUAUUUCCAAGUUUCCCAAGUAAGUUAAGGCUUUCAACAAAAAUUUCAACUGACCGUUGUGUUUGUUGAACUGCAUUGCUGAUUCUAAGGUUAUUGACCAACUUAGCUUGAAUUAAUAUGGAAUUGAACAUAGAUAAAAAGGUCAUCAUCAAUUAGUUACUUGCAUUGGUCACCUAAUUAGGUUGUUUUUUAAUUAUUAUUAUUUUUUUUUUUUAGUUUUGCGAAUGAUUAGGUAUGCAUCUUAAUAAAAGAAAUGUUACACUUUGUUUAGGAAAAAUAUGAGGUUUUCCACCACACAUUAAUAUAAGAGUAAUUUUUAUCCUCAUGCAAUCUCAGUACUACAUGAAGAGCGUGAUAGCGUACUUUUAGCUCCCAGAUCAAUUGAUAUGCCAAAAUAGAAAUGAAUUUAUAGGAGUUCGAACUCAAAUUGAGAGUUUCAGAUCUUUACUCGCUUUCCACUAGACCAAGUUCCAAAUAUUGACUCACUUUCCACUAGACCAACCAAGUAGAGAUGCAUACCCACAGCCGACUGAUUGAUUUGAAGGUUGAUAUUGGUAAAACUGUAUUUCCAAAGCUUGAUCUUCCCAGAUCUCCUCAAAAUUUCAAAUUCAAUUUAUAUAUUCUUCUUCAUAUCCUUUAUUCAAUCUUCAUGCAUGAACGAUGCACAUUGGAGUAUUAUACAAAACAAAACCACCUUUGAUCCUUUAUAUGCAUUUUGAUACCUGUUGAAAAAAUUAAUAUUCCACCGCACAAUAAUUUUUAUUUUCUUAAAAAAUUGGACAACUGGUGGCAAGCUACGGUUAUCCACUCCUAAGCCAUACCACAUGGACGAUCUGUUGAUAAAAUUAUUGUACCGGCACCAGAGUUGCUAGAAAAAGAAGGCCAAGCUUCAAAAUACAUUGGAAUGAACUAUAAGGAGUAUGUCCAGCUUCAACAAAGCUGCAAGAACUAAAUGAAAUCCACCUUUGAUCACAUACUAGCGUAACUAAGCUUUAUACACAGUCCAAUGGCUUGGUCACAGUUCAAGCGAUCUCAACCACAUUGAAAGAGCUGCAGCUUCCUUUUGGCUUCCUUUUCUUCGAACUGUUUUUUGUCAAAAUUUCUCUUCUUUUGUUUCAGUGAUCAUGUCAUAUUCGGUGUUGGCUUGAUGUGUUAUUAACACCAAACAGCUUUGUAAAUUGUACGUAGUUCAAUCAUAUCAAACAAUCUUAGACUAGCAGCCAGUUUCGAGUGAAAAAGAAAGAUAACGGAUUCAAAUCAAGUGGUCCGUCAUCAAGUGAAAAAGAAAACAAGGUUCAUGAGCAGAAUAGCAGCACAUCAGUUUUAAUAUAUAACCCAUUAAAAUAAGACAGAAGAAAGAGAAAGAAAUAUCAAAUCAAGCGCAACUUUUGGAAUCCACAAUAACCAUAAGCAGCCGGUCCAGAGGUUUUUGAGGCUCGGGGCUAUAUAAAAAAAAGUGUCAUAACUUCAUGUAAGAAAAUUAUUUAUUUUCACACAUAAAACAUUAAAAAAAUUAUACUUAGAAAAACACUUCAAACUCAAUAAUUUAGAAACACAGAAAGACUAAUUUAUUUUGUAUUGAGAGAGGGAAACAAAAAACUUCGGACUUACAAGUAGAUAGAUGAUGAGUUUUGUUUUCCAUCUGAAUUUUGAAUGUGUUUUUGAAUAAAUCGUGAGAUUUUUUUUUUCUUAUUUACUAACCUUGUCAAUAUGAGACUAAAAAAUAAUGAUGUUUCGAGUCUUUAAUUGAUAUGUAUUAUUAAUGAAUGGGCACUAAAUUAAAUAUUUUGAUGACAUGUUAUAUAAUUUGCAAAUUUGGUCUACAUAUUAUUCUUUGUUGAAGAUUAGACUUGAAUUAAAACAAAUAUUUAAAAAUAACAACCCACAUAGCUACUAUAUAGUAACUAAAAAUAAAUUAACAACCAAACAAAAAAUUGUAAAAAUUGAAAAAAAAUAAACAUGGCACAUAGCAUUUCGAACUUAGGACCCCUUGUUAAUUUUAAACAACAAAAAUCAUUGUUUCUAAUUAAACUUCUUAAUCCUUUAACCAAAUUUUAUAAAUUUAUACUCUUAUAAAAACAAAUUUGUUUGUUUCUAAUUAAACUUCUUGAUCCUUUAACCAAAUUUUAUAAAUUUAUACUCUUAUAAAAAUAACUUUGUAAAAAAUGGAAAGUAAAUAAGCACACAUGGUGUUUUGAACAUAAGACCUCCUCAUUAUUUUCAAAUGACAAACCACCACUUCUAGUUAAAUUUUUGUGUCUUUGAACCAAAUUUUAUAAAUUUAUACUCUUAUAAAAACAUAUAUAAAUAUAUCACCCUAAUAAUUUUGGUGUCCCUAAUUUUUUUGGGUCAUGGACGGUCGUCCUGCCUGCACUGGGCCUGGGCCGACCUUGGCCCCAGACACCGAGGAAGACAUAAUCAACAAGAAAUAUAUCAAACAGAUGGAUAAAUCCUUUGCAUUUAAGAGACGGAGUUACAGAUAAAGAUAAAGAAAUAGAAAGAAGAGGGGAAAGAAGGAAGAGGCAAGGAGAAAGAAGGUGGGAGAGAAGGAAGGCGGGAGAGAAGGAAGAGGCAAAGAGAAAGAAUGUGGGAGAUAAGGAAGGCGCCAGGGAAUACAAAAAAGGAGAAAGAGAGAAUAUGGGAGAGACAGAUGAGACGGCAGGAAAAAAAAAAUCUAAUGAAAAAGAUUUUAAAAUUCUGGAUGUUAACUAAACAUUCUUUAAUAAUUUUAUUUAAUGGUUAGGACAACGCUCAAUACUAAAUCAGUCUAAUUAAAAUGACUCAAAGUAAUAUGUUUUCUAUUUUACCCCUAACAGCAAAUGAACAUAUGCCGUCCCUCCCUCUUUCUUUUAUUUUUUAUUUUUAUUUUUUUUUCCCGAGCAUCCCGGCUGCUUCCUGUGGGCCGCAAUCAAUAAAAGCCCCUCCCUCCUCUUACCUCUGCUACAUUCCUCCAUUAAUAAUAAAAAAGGACAAGAGUUGAUUUUCUGACCCACAUUACUCACACAUGUCUCUCUCAAUCAUUAUAGUUAUGCCUGGUAAUUCCUAACACGAUCCAAUAAUUCGACACGAUAAGACACAAAAUUAACAGGUGUUUAGAUCGAUACGAUAACGAAUCGAGUCUUAUCGGGUAACCCGAUACGCACCUUUUAAGAUAAUGGGUUGGUUCGAGUAUACACGUGGGUAACACGAUACACGAUAAGCAAAAUAUUAAUUUUAUAAUUUUAUAACCCUAAAAAAAUACUAUAAUAAUUAUAUAUAUAUAUAUAUAUAUAUAUUAAUUUAACAAUUUUAUACCCCUAAUAACUAUAAUAAUUAUAUAUAUAUAUAUAUAUAUUAAAUUAACUACUAAAUUGGUGACCAUUGGAUCGGCUUAAAUAUACAUACCAUUCAAUUUCUUAAGUGUUAUACGUACAAAAUAAAUAAAUUUAAAUCUACUUAAUGAAUAUAUAUAUAUAUAUAUAUAUAUAUACCAUUAAACUUGAUGGGAUACGAAUUCUACGAAACUAAUUUCAACGAUCUAACCGUCAACCUUGUUUGUAUAUGCUUUGAGAUCGCAUCAGCAAAAAAUUGCAAAAAACAAACAUUCAGAUAUUAAGUAAGGGAACAAAACUUUUCGACGGUUAUCAACGAAAAAUCACUAUUUAACAGUUAUUUUAACUCCGAUUUUGAUGAUUUUUUUACAGUUACACUCAUUGACCCUAUAUGAAUAAAAUGAAUGAACUCGAUCUUCAAUUCAAAAUAUUCACACUAGUGGAUACUACAAAAUCUUAUAUUAUACUUAAUAAAAGUAUGAAUAAACUCUUAAGUGUUAGUAAAUCUAUUGUUUUGAUGAGAUACGCAUUCUACGAAACUAGUUUCAACGAUCCAACCAUCAAACAUGAUUGUAUAUGCUUCGAGAUCGCAUACACCAAAAAUUGAAAAAAACAAACAUUCAGAGAUCAAGCAACGGGAUAAAACUUUUCGACAGUUAUCAACUAAAAAUCACGAUUUAACGGUUGUUUUAACUCCGAUUUUGAUGAAUUUUUACAGCUACACUACUUGACCCUAUAUGAAUAUAAUGAAUAAAUUCGAUCUUUAAUUUAAAAUAUUGGCACUAGUGGAUGUGGAUACCACAAAAUCUUAUGUUAUAUUUAAUGAAAGUAUAAAUAAACUCUAAGUGUUAGUGAAUCUAUCGUUUUGAUGGGAUAUGCAUUCUACGAAACUAAUUUCAACGAUCCAACCGUCAAACUUGUUUGUGUAUGCUUCAAGAUUGCAUACGCUAAAAAUCGCAAAAAAUAAACAUUCAGAGAUAAAGUAACAGGACAAAACUUUUUGACGGUUAUCAACGAAAAAUCAUGAUUUAACGAUUAUUUUAAAUCUGAUUUUGAUAAUUUUUUUUACAGCUACACUCCUUGACCCUAUACGAAUACAAUGAAUGAGCUCGAUCUUCAAUUUAAAAUAUUUACACUAGUGGAUACCACAAAAUCUUAUGUUAUACUUAAUGAAAGUAUGAAUAAACUCUUAAAGUGUUAGUGAAUCUAUUGUUUUGAUGGGAUACAUAUUCUACAAAACUAGUUUCAACGAUCCAACCGUCAAACAUGUUUGUAUAUACUUCGAGAUCGCAUACGCCAAAAAUUGCAGAAAACAAACAUUCAGAGAUCAAGUAAUGGGACAAAACUUUUCGACGGUUAUCAACGAAAAAUCACGAUUUAACGGUUAUUUUAACUCCGAUUUUGAUGAUUUUUUACAGCUACACUCCUUGACCCUAUAUGAAUACAAUGAAUGAACUCGAUCUUCAAUUUAAAAUAUUCACACUAGUGGAUACCACAAAAUCUUAUGUUUAAUGAAAGUAUGAAUAAACUUUUAAGUAUUAGUGAAUCUAUUGUUUUGAUGGGAUACACAUUCUACGAAACUAGUUUCAACGAUCUAACUGUCAAACAUGAUUGUAUAUACGUCGAGAUCGCAUACGCCAAAAAUUGCAAAAAACAAACAUUCAGAGAUCAAGUAACGGGAUAAAACUUUUCGAACGUUAUCAACUAAAAAUCAUGAUUUAACGGUUAUUUUAACUCCGAUUUUGAUGAAUUUUUACAGCUACACUACUUGACCCUAUAUGAAUACAAUGAAUGAAUUCGAUCUUCAACUUAAAAUAUUUACACUAGUGGAUACCACAAAAUCUUAUGUUAUACUUAAUGAAAAUAUAAAUAAACUCUAGGUGUUAGUGAAUCUAUUGUUUUGAUGGGAUACACAUUCUACAAAACUAAUUUCAACGAUCCAACCGUCAAACUUGUUUGUAUAUGCUUCAAGAUCGCAUACGCCAAAAAUCACAAAAAACAAACAUUCAGAGAUCAAGUAACGGGACAAAAAAUUUCGACGGUUAUCAACUAAAAAUUACAAUUUAACGGUUACUUUAACUCUGAUUUUGAUGAUUUUUUACAGCUACACUCCUUUACCUUAUAUGAAUACAAUGAACGAAUUUGAUCUUCAAUUUAAAAUAUUUACACUAGUAGAUACCACAAAAUCUUAUGUCAUGAUGAUUGAUGAAAAUUGAGGAUUUUGUAAAAGGAAUAACAUGCAAGCUUUGAGUUCCAUUGGCAAGGUUUAAACUUUUGAGAAAGGCUUCACAACCUUGAAAACAAAAACUCUAUUAUUUUACAUAUCCUUGCACAUUUAAUAUUUGUAAUAGACUAGUAGUGUAUGGAUGUGGCAAUGUGUGGUAUGUGCAAAUUUAAGAAAAAAAGAUAUUUUUCUUAAUGAGUCAUAACGGGUCGGGUCACUUUACAACGGGUCAGGACACUUUACACGUUGGGUAAAGUGACCCGACCUGUUAAGGACCCGUUAAGAUAACGGGUGUGACACGAUACGACCCAUUAAGAUAAUAGGUGUUACACGAAAACGAUACAAACACGACAGACACGACCCGUUUGCCAGACCUAAUUAUAGUCAUGAUAUGACCGAAUAUAUUUGUCAAAAAUGCUAUUCAAAUGUAUAUAUUUUUUAAACUAAAUAAAUAAAUAAUUGUGACUAAUUUGAAAUUGUUGGAUAUAAUUUUUUUUAGGACAAAUUAAAAUGGAGCUCAGAAAGGUUGCAUAUGAUAUCACUGUUUUAAUCUCGUAUGUCCAGACAUAUAUUAGAGCAACACCAUCACUGCACCAACAGAAUAACACGUAAUCAAAAUAAUUAAACACUGAACUACUAAUUCAAUUUAAUUCAGUUUAAAAAGAAAAAUAUGAAAAUAUUUUGCAAAACUAAUAACAAAUAAUCCCCAGAGACAAUUCCACAUAAGUGGAAAUUGCAGACAAUAUACAUAGCAUCAAAUUAUGUCCGCCCGUCUGCUUUUCCUCUUCAUCGAUACAAUUUUUAGCACAAAUCCAUUAAAAGAAAUGCCAUUGAAAAUCCACAAAAAAUAUUAAAUUAUUUUAAAAUCAAUAAAAAAUGGCAAAGCAUAUAGUUGGAUAUAAUUAGGGAAGAUAAGUUGUAUAGCUUAUUAUUAUUAGUAUUAGAUGCAUAAAUUUCAUAAGUUGUAAAGAAACAAAAAGAGUUGCACAUGACGGUGGAUAUUGCAAUUUGCAAGAAUCUAAAGACUUUAUAAUCCACACUAUUUUAGAAUUACAACAAAAUAACAAAUACUAUUUCUGAAGCUGAACUAAAAUAACUCACACUAUUUUUGAAAAGGAAGAAAAUACACACUAAUUUUGGAACAACAACAAAAUAACCCACACUAUUUAUGAAACAAAACCAAAAUAAUCCACACUAUUUCUAAAACAGAACCAAAAUACUCCACGUUAUUUCUGGAACGACACGAAAUAAACACUGUUUCUGAAACUACAGUAAAAUAACUUACACUAUUUAUGAAAUAGAAUCAAAUUAAUAAAAACUAUUUCUAGAAAUACAGCAACAUAACUCAGCUAUUUCAGAAACUGAACCAAAAUAAUCCACACAAUUUCUAAAAAUACAACAAAAUAACUCACACUAUUUUUGAACCUGAACGAAAAUAAUUCAUACCAUUUAUGGAAUUACAACAAAAUAACCCACACUAUUUUUUAAACUGAAUCAAAAUAAUGCAUACUAUUUUUGGUAGGAAAAAAUAAACAUUAUUUUUGAGACAACAACAAAAUAACACACACUAUUUCAGAAACUACUACAAACUAACCAGCACUAUUUUUGAAAAUGAACAAAAUAAAGAGAGUUUUGACAAAAUAACCCAAUCUUGAUUCUUGAAUAUCGUUUGCCCGUCGUUCUCUACAAAAUGGUAGUCUUAUAUGUUGCUAUUUAAUAGUAGAAUCUAUAGAUGAAUUACUUUCGAUUUGGCUAUAUAUAUAACAACAUGAAAUUCAACUUCAUGAAUAAUAUCUGGGAGAAUUGCAUGAAGUUUUCAGUCCUCUCUCCUCUCUCCUCUCUCUCAUGCAAAAUCAUGGUUGCUAUUUUUGUUUCAGAAAACAUAGAAUAUUUUGAUAAAUAUGUUUUUGUUUUUUUGUUUUUUUUUUGUAUUCAUGGCCCUUUUUGGGAUUCUGCACAAUCUUGUGUCUGCCAUGAAUGGACAUAGACAGUAUAUGUUGACAUUCAUGUUCACACGUAUACAUAAUAAAUUAAAUAUGGAAUCCCCAUAUAUGAAUAUAAAAUAUAUAAAUAAAUUUGGGUAAAUUACACUUUACCACCUCAGGUUUGAGGUUUAUUACAACCUCAUUCAAUAUCUUCAAAACAUUUCACUUUCAUACCUCAAGUACUAUUUUAUUUCAAUAUAAUACAUCCGUUCCAUUUUCCAUCCAUUGAUCCGUUAAGAACUGACAUGGUUGGCACAUUUAUGCCAUGUGGCAAUUUUUUUUUUUUUUAAUAGUAAAAAAAAACCUGAAAACCCCGAAACCCAUUCCCCCAGACCACCUACCUCUCCUUCACUCUCUUCACCUCCCAUCCCAUCCAAAAACCCACCUCAUCCCACCCCACCCCACCCUACCCUUACCUUCCCCGCAAGCCCCACCCCACCCCACCCCACCCCACCCCCACCUUCAUCGAGCCUUUUCUCCUCUUUACCCCCACCCCCUUUCUCCCUUCUCUCAUCUGCAACACUACCCACCCUUCCCUUCUAUCCGUUACUUAUCAUCUUUCCCGACCCCUUCCCCUUCCCCGCAACCCAAACCCCCUCAUCUCACCCUACACCCACCUCCCUCGCAACCCCCCCCCAACCCCACCUCACCCCAAGCGAUCCCUAGAUCUGGACCUCGACAACCAGUCAACGACCCAUAUGCGCCGAACAACCCAGAAACCUCGAAUAUGGUGAUGGUCUUCUCACCGAGCUCGAGUCCUUCGGCCAGUCACACUAGGCCCUAUUAUUGAAGUCGUCGGCGAUGAAUGUUUGGCUAUGAGGAUGAAAGAGAUAAAGGUGGUUGCUCCGGUGGGAUGAAAGGAUUGACAUGGUGGUUGUAUGAGAUGGGUGGUGGUGAUAGAGAAAGAAAGAAAUGAAGUUAGGAGGCUCGGGAGGGAGAAGAUGGGUAGGGGGUUGCAGGAAGGUGGGGCUGGGGUUUUGAGGAUUCAGGUUUUGUUUUUUUGUUUUUUUUGGAUUAAAAAAUUAUUUUUUUUGCCAUGCACAAAUUUGGCAGCCAAGUGGCACAAAUGUAGCAUCCACGUCAGCUUUUAACGGAUCAAUGGAUGGAAAAUGUAACGGAUGUAUUAUGUUACAAUAAAAUAGUACUUGAGGUAUAAAAGUGAAAUGUUUUGAAGAUAUUGUAUAAGGUUGUAAUAGACCUCAAACAUGAGGUGGUAAAGUGUAAUUUACGCAAUAAAUUUUGUCAUAACCUUGGUUAGGGCCCACACAAAGAAAAGGAGAGUUUCCUUUAAACAAAGGCAAAGUUUUGUUGGGAUGGUGGAGCACUAGAAGCCUCAUCACGUUCGUGUUUAAUGAGAUAGUGGGUUAACUGAUGGGAUGAGCUUCUGUCAGGGGCAAGGCUGAAAAAUAAAGUUUUGCUUUUGCACAUGCGCCUGUAUUCUAGUUAUGAGAAUUUAAAUUUUUUUCCUCAUUAUAUUGUAUUAUGUCAUUUUUAUUAGGGUAAAUUACAUAAUACCCUAUCAGGUUUGAGGUCUAUUACAACCACAUACAACAUCUUUAAAACAUUUCAUUUACAUACCUCACGUACUAUUUUAUUUCAAAAUAAUACAUCCGUUAGAUUUUCCAUCCAUUUGUCUGUUAAAUGCUGACAUUGCUGCCACAUGGCAAAUUUUUUUUUUAUACAUUAAAAAUAUUAUAAUAUUAACCCUAUUAAAAAAAUAUCAGAAAAACCCAAACCCAGAAAUCCUUCCUCGCAACCCUACAUCCCACCCCACCCCCUUACCCAUCUCUUCCUUCUCGUCCGUCCAUCCCCUCCACCUCUCCAUCCAUCCCCUCCACCCGAGCACCCCUCAGCGUGGGUCCCACCUUGACCUCUCGAUCUCUCUCUCCCAGAAAUCCUUCCCCACAACCUCACAUCCCACCCUCACCCUCUUACCCAUCUUUUCCUUCCCGUCCAUCCAUCUCCUCCACCCUUCCAUCCAUCUUUCCACCUUUCCAUCCCCUCUACCUGAGCACCUCUCAGCUCGGGUCCCACCUCAACCUUUUUCUUUCUUUCUCUCUCUCUCAUUUCCUCCCCUUCUCUGCCAGAAAUCCUUCCCCGCAACCCCCAAUCCCACCCCCACCCCCAUACCCAUCUCUUCCUUCCCGUCCGUCCAUCUUAACUUCGACGACCUCUUCCUCUUCGACUUUUCCAACAUCGACCUCUCCUGCCUCGCCUCCCCCAACCUCCUACCUUGAGUCCGACGACUCAUCGGGGGGCCAACUACCCAACCCCUUCUCCUCGAUCCCCAAGUCCAUCGCUUCCUCCGGUUUCACCGCCAUUGCUGCCCACCUUCAGAGCUUCUCCGUCGACUUUGACUUUUUUGACAACCUGGGCAGGACUCUCUACGAGUUUGGGGGUUAGGUUAUUAGGGUUUCGGAGUGGGGAUUUUGUAAAUGGGUUGGUUGGUGGGUAGAAUUAGGUAUGGAAGUGCUUUAAUGGGGAUGAACCGCGAGCUGAACAAUGGAUUUUGUAAAUGGGAGUUGUAGAGAUAUGAGGGGGAAGGAAGGGGAUAUGGGUUCGGGUUUUUCUAAUUAUUUUAUUUAUUUAUUUAAAUAGAUUUAAUAUUAUAAUAUUUUUAAUGUAUAAAUUUUGUUUUGCCACGUGGCAGCCAUAUCAGCACAAAUGUGGCAGUCACGUCAGCAUUUAACAGACCAAUAUAUGGAAAAUCUAACGGAGGUAUUAUUUUUAAAUAAAAUAGUAUGUGAGGCAAGGUUCUAAAAAACGCUAGGCGCUAGUCGAGUGGUGGGCUAGCGCCUAGCGCCUAGACCGCCUAGGUGGAUUUAGAUAAAUUUCUUGUAUAUCUUGUAAAUAAGUACAUAUUGACACUUACAAAAAAUUAUACUUGUAUGAAAUCCAUGGAUAAGAUAAUAAAAGAAUGAUAAAAUGCAAAAAGAGUAUCCAACAAGUCCAAAAUUUAAAAACACAUUAAGCAUAUAUGCCAUAUAACCAUAGUGAGGAGUAUUGUUAGAUGACACAUGUACAACAAGUUCACAAUUUAAAAUAACAUAAAAUGGAAAAUAGGUGGAAAAUAAGGAAAUUUAGUAAUGUAAGAUACUUAUCUUUAGCAUCCCGGAAUUUAAGUUGGUACACAACACACAUAUUCUAUAAAAUUAACAAAAUUUCAAGGUAUAAUUAGAACUUAGACUUUAAACAAAUUUAAAAAAAAAAGAAAAAAAAAAGCCACCCAGCUGCCUAGGCCCACCUAGCCCGCUUAGGACUGCCUAGCCCACCUAGGGCCACCUAGAGCCACCUCGAUUUUUCCAGCCGUUUUGCACAAAAUCUCCUCGGUUCCAAGGCGCCUAGCGCCUAGGCGGCCGCCUAGGGCGUUUUUUAGAACAGUGAUGUGAGGUAUGAAAGUGAAAUGUUUUAAAGAUGUUGUAAUAGACCUCAAACCUGAGGGAGUAUUAUGUACUUUACCCUUUUUAUUAAAUCUCAAGCCCUUUACAUUAAAUAAAGUUAUAGGAUGAUUUUUUUUUAUUAAAAUAAACUUAGCCCAAACUCUUUUAAUUAAAGCUUAAAAAAAAAAAAAGAGAAAUAAGAGGGAAAAUAGGCUUGGUUUUAGGGGACGAGGUUUUCAAUAUAUUUGACUUUUAAGUUGGAUUUACAUAGUUUUGCGUUGAAAUUAAGCUAAUGAUUGAUUUUCUUUUUUGAGUACUUCGAUAUUUUUAUACUAAGGGGAGGGGUAGUUCGACAAAACCAUACAAUGAGCAGCCUAAUUUAGUAUCGAAUUCGCCAUCUACGAGAUUCGCUUCUAAGACCUCUCACUUUUAAGUGAAGAGGAAUACCACCAAAUCAUAGUACUGAGUGGCAGCUAAUGAUUGAUAUUGAGUUUAAAAAAUGAAUGCUCCAUAUAAAUAAAUAAAAAAAUUAUUAAUUUAUAUUAUUUUAUGAGAAUUUAUAUAUUAUUUAGUUCAAUUCAGUUCAAUUUUUGUACCAUCAAAAGUGAAACCGAACCAAUAAAUUUUAGUUUAGUUCGGUUUGGUUUUCUAGUUUCAAUUUGAUUUUUAAUUGGUUUGGUCUUCUUUAGUUUCAGUUUAGUGUUCGGUCUUUUUGUUUUUUUCUUUUCGGUUUUCCAAGCCCACCCCUUAGAUUAAGUUGCACAUAUAAACCGUCUUAUUUUCCAAACAUAUAUAUGUACAACGAAACAUCUUAAUAAUGUAGAGGUAUCUUUCCCUAAACGACAAAAAGGUUGCAUUCAUUUCCUUUUGUCAUUGGUUGUCCAAAAAUGUUACUCUUAUUUAUUUGUGUCAUCUUUCUAAUAAAGAUAUGAUCUAUAUACACUGGCAGGCCAUAUCUUUAUUAAAUAGAUGAUACAAAUAAGUGAUAAGUGUAAUAUUACUCUUGUUCAAGCAUCCCACGGCAAAAAAUAUGCAAUAGAUCUAGAAACAAAUGAGAGAGACCUAGAGAACCAUUAGGUUGUUAACAGAAAAAUAUUUAGACCGUUUGAUUUAAUCUAAAGGAUUGUUAUUAGCAUUUCUAAAAUUUCAUUUCACACUCCAAAUUUUCUAUAAUAAGAAAAAAAAAUACACUUGUGAGGAGUGUAUAAUGAGAUUUUUGGAAUGCUAAUAACACUUCCCUAAUCAUAAUAUGACAGUGAGAUUAGUAAUGGAGAUGAUGGCAUAAUACCUUAUUACGGUGAAAUCAAACUAAAUGUAUCUUAAUUGUUUCCUAUUAAGACUUAAUGAGUUGAUUUGUUAAUCUAUUUAGCUAGCUAUUCUAGAAGUUCUUGAAAGUCUUGAGAGCAACACCCCGCGUGUCAAGAUACAUGUGGGAAAUAAGUUCAGGCUUUCAACAAAAAUUUCAACUGGCCACUGUUUGUUGAACAGCAUUGCUGAUUCUAAGCUUAUUGAAUUGACUAUACAAAACGAGCAACUUAUAGAUAAAAAAAAGUGGUCAUGAUUAAUUAAUUACUUGCAUUCGUCACCUAAUUAGGUUCUUUUUUUUCUUUUUUUUUUUAAAUUUUGUGAAUGAUUAGAUAUCUAUUACAAGAUAAAAGAAGAUAAUGAAAAAGAAGCAGAGCUAGAAGAAGGAGACAAACGAUACUAGAACAAUAUAAUAGAAGAAGAACUACACAACAAAGACAACAUGAUGGAAGCCUAGAAGAGUUGAAAGUAGAUAAGCAAAAGUUGAAAGAGCAAAAUAAUAAUGCAAUAAGUGGGGAAUAUGUCACAAUAGCACUGUGCAAAGUUACAUACAAUAAGUCUAGCAUUAGGCAAAAAUAUAAACAUCACUAUGGGACCCACGAUAAUAAAUAAAAUAAUGACAUAAGAGUAAAUAAAAAAAUACUUAAUCCAUUAUGGACAUUUUCCACCAAAAAUUCCCUUUUAAUUAAAAAUAAAAUUGAAAGGAGUUUUCAUUAAAUUCCCUUUUUGUAAACGAUGAAUAAAAUACUUUGUAGAUUCCAUAUUUUAAUUUUAAUUUUAAUUUAAGAAAUGUUAAUGGGACUCUCUCAAAGUAAGACUAUCCAUGGACUCACUGCCACCUCAUAAUUUAACAUUUGUUCUUGUGCCAACAUUAUAAAACAUUGUGCUAAAAACAUGCGGUAGCAAAGAGUCCCUAGAGACUCCACCUUUUGAAAGAGCCUCCUUAACAUUUCUUAAAUUGAAAAAUGCUAAAGAGAUUCUUUCAAAGUGAGUCUUUUCAUGGACUCAUUGCCACCUAACAGUUUAACGUUUUUUCUUGUGCCAACAUUAUUAAACAUUGUACCAAAAACAUGAGGUGGCCAAUGUUCUAAAAGAUGCUAGGCGCUAGUCUGGCGGCGUCCUAGAGCCUAGCGCUAGACGGGGCCUAGGAGGAUUUACGUAAAAUCGUAUAAAUAAGUGACUAUUUAUAUUUAAAAAAAUACAUAAUUGUACUGAGAUACAUAGAUUACAAAAUAAAAUAACAUAUAGAUUAUUUUAAGUAAAUUUAUUACAUAUAAUAAUAAUAAUAAUAAUAAUAAUAAUAUGACUUAUGUGCAUAAGUUGAGGAAUAUUUCUUUUGGUUUUGUAACAUUUUUGCUUAGCCUAAUAUGUUUUAAUCAUUGUUAUGCCUUACUUUUCAUUAAAAAAAGAUUGAGCUUGUUUUCACAUUAAAUAAAUAAAUAAAAAUUUAUUCCCUAAUUUUAAAAGAACUACCAGCCAAUUUUAAAAUCUUUAACUCUAGCCCUAGCCAACAUAAACUCUGUGUUGUCGCACUUCUUCUCUGCAAUUGCAGAUUUGACAGAGCUCCGUCUCUCCCUUUGUCUCUUCCUCUCAUGUCAAAUGUUUUAGGCCGACUCCUCUUCUACGCACGUAGAGAAGGGAAAAGGAGCAGCAACAUGAAGACUACCUUUGCAACGAUAAUUUUUCUUGAGUUACAUAACCGCCCGGGGGUCGCUGAGGCCGCCUAGCCCUCCUAGGGGGCCGUCUAGGCGCCGCCUAAUAGUCUAGCCGACUUGUUGAAUGAUUUUGCUGAAUUGACGGCAGUCGGUCUCCGUCGAGUGCCUAGGUCGAUUUUUACAACACUGGAGAUGAUAGAGAGUCCCACUUUUUGGAGUCUCUUUAACAUUUCUCUUAUAAUUUUUGGAAACAAUUAUUUUUUGGGUACAAAUUUCUAGAAAGAUAUUUUUUGGAGAGUGCUAUCCAAGCACAUAUUUCUAUUUCUUACACAUCCCUCUUAAUUUCCUACUAUCGGAUUAAAUGAAUUGAAGAAGGUUAAUCGCAAAAAAUUAGCAAGGGUUUGUGAGAGAUAAAAUGUGUGGGUGAAUAUCACUACUUUAAAAAAAAAAGAAAAAAAAAAAAACACUCCCAAAGUAGCUUGGAUUCGGUAAGUGGGAUGAAUUUUUGUCUGUUAUUAUAUUUAGGAAGUGCUAUAUUCAUACAUUAUUUUUCACUUUUUACACAUCCUUACUAAUUUUUUGUCAUUAAUUUUUUUUUAAUUCAUUCAAUUUAACGGUCGAAAAUUAAGAAGAAUGUAUAAAAAAUACGAAUGAAUGUCUGGAUAGUGCUACCUUAUAUUUGUAGCGUUGAAGGACGUAACGGUUUGCUUGCCAGUUUUGCUUUGUUUGAUGGUGUUGAAGGACGUAACCAUGUGCUUUUCAAAUUCGCUUUGUUAGUUUAAAUAGUCUCAUAUAUUCCAAUGUUGGUUUUCGAGUAAAAAUAAAACAAAAAACAUUCCAAUGUUGGUGGGCUGAUAAGUUUUGAUUAUGCUUUCUUGCUUAAUUUCCUGCCCUCCUCGUGUACCCGCAGGAAUCCCACGAUUCCAGAAGUCCUCGCUUGAGAGCGCAAAAUAUAGCCAUCAUGUGAUGGAAGAAAGACCAUACGGUAAAUGCUACACUUACUAUUAUGAUGUACUAUCACUUAUAUCAUAUCUCUAAUAGAGAUGGAUUUGCUAACGCAUGUGAGUCUCAUCUUUAUCAGAGAGAUGAUAAAGUGAUGAUACAACUAGAUGAUGAGAAUAGCAUUUUUGCAUAAAAUAUGGUUGAUAUUUUGACUUGCAAAAAUAUGGGUGGUGCCGGUGGCACUCUCAAUACUUGCGAGGACUUCUGCAAUUGUGGGUUCAAAAUUCAGUGGUAAAUGGCGGAUUACGAGACUUUUUUAAAACAAAAAACUGGAGGUUUCGGGUUCGAAAUCCGCUGCUGGUGUGGAAGCCAAACUUAUGGCUAAAGAGAGGCUGAAAUGCCUAUGUGAGUUUUCUUGACUUUCAAAAGAGAUGAAUAACCGUGACUUAUCAUCAGUUUUCCUUAUUUUUAAAAUUAAAAAAAAAAAAAAACAUUGUUGAAAAGGAAGAACUGAUCUUUGAUUAUCAAAUUGUUGGAUACUCUUAUAGACCUAUUAUCAAUGUCUAAAAUAUCGAUAUUAUCCCGAUAUUUCCAUCGAAAUUUCCGUGUUUUUGGAGUACCGAUAUUUCCGAUAUCAUCGAUAUUUUAGACCUUGAUAGGAACUCUAUGUGGUAAUAAGUCACUCAUGUAUCUUACCAUGCAAUGUAUGAAGUGUAAAAUAUUGUACUAAUUCAUUAUAUAUAAAUGAUAUGGUGUGUUUAAACUUCUUUCAUUAAUUACUACAUAUUUUCUACACUCACAAUGUUUGUCAACUCGCUAUAUAAUCAACUUAAAUCAGUUAAAUCCAUUAUGCAAUGCAUUUCCUUCCAAUUUUUUUUUGUGAUAAACUAAUAGAUUAUUGACUAAAUAAACAUUCUGCAAAGUUUCAAUAAAAAUUUCCAGGUUUUUCUUAAAAUUUCCGUGGUUUUUAUUCAAUUUUUUUCGAUAUCGAUAAUAUCCCGAUAUUUCCAUCGAAAUUUCCGUAUUUUUAGACCACCGAUAUUUCCGAUAUAAUCGAUAUUUUAUAUCUUGCCUAUUAUAUAACUCUUAUAGACUCAUCAUUUCAUCUCAGAAACUUCAUUUUGAAAUUGAUUAGUUUAGUACUUAAAUAUAUUGUAGAAUAAUUAGAUAGCUAAUUUCUCAAAAAAAAAAAAAAAAUACUACUUUAUUCUUGUAGACUGGUCAUUUCAAUGUUAUUUUUUUUUUAAUCUCGAUACGUAUGAGAAGGUUGGCCACCGACACCAAAUUAAUUAGUGAUUCCUAAAGCUUACUUCUGGAUUUGGACCCCAUCUGCAUCAUUUUUGUCAUGAUCCUAAGAAUCAAAUCUUAUCCGAUAAUUUAUCAAUCACAAAUUAUUUUAUUUAAAAUUAAACAUAAACAAUGUCUAACAAAAAUUGAUCGUAUAAUGUACGAUAAACGGAUAAAAUAUGAAGAUCCUCACAAACAGAAUCCGGAGAAAAUCCUCAUUCCUUACUUAUAUAACCAUACAUAACUUUCAUAAAAGGUGGGCUGGACAACGAACACGUUGAUUUAUAAUACGGAUUAUGAACACGAGAAAGUUGAUGACAUACGUCCCAGCUUCUCAGUGUCUAGCUAGCUCUAUAAAAUGGAACCAUUUCCUUCAUUUAUCAUCACAAAAGUUUCAUCUCGAUCGACUUACUUAUAAUUCUUUUUACUCAUCCUCUUCUGAUAUACAUAAUAUUCUCUGAGUCUUUGAAAUUUGAAGAUAUGGCUCCAGUUGCUACUCAAACCAUGGAUGUAAAGAGCAUCAAAUCGCUUGCGGAAUCACCCGCUCUCUGCUCUGUUCCUUCUGCUUAUGCCUUCAACAUAAACCCCAAUGAUGAAGCAGAUCCAAACGAUCCCGAAUUUGCAAUCCCUAUAGUUGAUAUGUCUCUUCUCACCUCGGGAUCUCCUGAUCAACGCUCCAAAAUAAUCCACGACCUGGUCAAAAUUUGCAAAGAAUGGGGCUUCUUCAUUGUAAGUAGUUUAACUAAGUACUAACUACUUCAGUUAUUUUUUAGGAGAAAUAUUUGAGUGACGGUUGCUAGUGUUUUAGAGUUACUGGUAGCAAUUUGAUAAAGAAAACAACAAAAAUGAUACUUUUGUCACAUUUUCGAUAAAUCAUUUGUAUCGUCUCUCUAAUAAAGAUGAGACCCAUAUGCGCCUUUAUUAGAGAGGUGGGACAAAUGUGGUACAAAAAAUGUAGUAAGUGUAGCAUUACUUGAAAAAAAAGCAAGCUAAUUAAUCUUGGUCACGAUGUAUUCAUUACAGGCAAUUAACCAUGGAGUCCCAGAGAGUCUAAUGAAGGGGAUGAUUGACGCGUGCCAUGGAUUUUUCAGCCUCCCAGACGAAGAGAAGGAGGAGUUCAAAUCCGGAAAUGAUGUGCUGGACAUGUUCAAGUACGGAACCAGCUACAAUCUUGCAUUAGACAAAGUCCUUCUCUGGAGGGACUUCUUCAAGGUGAGAGUACAUCCCGAGUUCUACUCCCUCUACAAACCGGCUUGCUUCAGUGAGGUUUCAAUGGAGUUCAGCAAGAGAACAAGAGAAGUAGCAUUGGAGAUAACACGCGCAAUCUCCGAAAGUUUGGGACUGGAGCCCAACUACAUACAUGAUGCGAUGAACAUGGAUCGCGGCCUACAAAUGCUCGCCGCCAACUACUAUCCGCCUUGCCCUCAGCCAGAACAUGCAAUUGGUAUACCACAUCACACUGAUCAUGGCCUUGUCACCCUCCUCAUCCAGAAUGAGAUGAAUGGCCUCCAAGUUGAACAUAACGGCAAGUGGCUCACCGUCAGUGGCGCUGCCAACGGUUUCUUUGUCAACCUCGCUGACCAAAUGCAAAUUCUUACUAAUGGCAAAUACAAGAGUGUGAUGCAUCGGGCAACUGUGAACAACAAAGCUACGAGGAUAUCUAUUGCCAUACCACAUGGACCAUCAAUUGAUACACUUAUCGCACCGGCACCGGAGUUACUGGAAAAAGAAGGCCAAGCUCCGAAAUAUGUUGGAAUGAAUUAUAAGGAAUAUAUCCAGCUUCAACAGAGCGGCAAGAACUACAUGAAAUCCAC